rnacentral:rRNA from 1 species
UACGAAGGCAACAGUGGGGAAUAUUGCACAAUGGGCGCAAGCCUGAUGCAGCCAUGCCGCGUGUAUGAAGAAGGCCUUCGGGUUGUAAAGUACUUUCAGUCGUGAGGAAGGUGUUAAGGUUAAUAACCUUAGCAAUUGACGUUAGCGACAGAAGAAGCACCGGCUAACUCCGUGCCAGCAGCCGCGGUAAUACGGAGGGUGCGAGCGUUAAUCGGAAUUACUGGGCGUAAAGGGCACGCAGGCGGUUAAUUAAGUUGGAUGUGAAAUCCCCGGGCUUAACCUGGGAAUGGCAUUCAAGACUGGUUAGCUAGAGUCUUGUAGAGGGGGUAGAAUUCCAUGUGUAGCGGUGAAAUGCGUAGAGAUGUGGAGGAAUACCGGUGGCGAAGGCGGCCCCUGGACAAAGACUGACGCUCAUGUGCGAAAGCGUGGGGAGCAAACAGGGAUUAGAUACC